GAUGAAGAAAACCCAAAAAGAUGUUCAUACACCUCGGAAGAGUCCUUGAUUCACAGAAGACGAAGCUACGGUAGAGAUUGAGCCACCAAAUUUUAAUAUAUUAACACAAACACCAAUCAAAAAGAAUGUAUCACCCGCUAAGAGAAAUAUCGCCAUCGUGAUGAAGAAACUAAUCCCAUUGAAGAAGAAACAAAGCCCAGUAAAAAUGAAAGAAACCAUGGCUAAGGAGCAAAAAAGAAGGGAGAAGAUGGUGGAAUCCUCGUCAGUUGAAGCUUCGGAUUUUCAGAUUUCGAUUUUGUUAGUGAAAAACAAACCAAAAAGCAAAAAUCAGUUAGCAAGGGUGAGCCAUCAAACCCCUCCAAAAAAAGACCCAGUUCAAAUCUCAAAGGUGAUUCAAAAAUUCCUAAGACCAAAAAGAUCAAGACGGUUGUAAAGAAAAAAGAAAGAUACACACAUUGGCAAUCAUGCACCAAUAUGAAGGUCUUUGAUGAUCUUAAAAAAUUCUAACGGAUGAACAGUUUCAAGAGUUUUUACAGACUCCAUUCGAAUUUUACAACGUGAUAUAUUUCAUGAGGAUGCAGGAACAACUGUUACAACAUCUUUUACUAAUAGAGACUGAUAAAAACAGAGAUGAUCUCUUCAUUAUCAGUAUAAAUGGUAUUGAACUAAGAUUUGGCAUAAAUAAAUUCUCAGUUGUUACUGGUCUCAAA